rnacentral:lncRNA from 1 species
ACUAUACAUAUAGAUAGAUAGAUAGAUAGAUAUAGGUAUAUAUUCAAAGAGUAAAGUUAUAUAUAAUAUGAAAUCACCUAGGAAAACUACUAAUUUUUUUGCACAAUUUCCUUUUUAUUGCCAGAGUCAUGUACUACAUUUAAUUUUCUUUUUGGAACUAGGGAUUGAACUCAGGACCUUGCCUCUGUGAGGCAGGUGGCAGAACCACUGAGCUAAAACCCCAGCUGUAUGUUACAUUUAAGUCUUGUGUUUAAUUCUAUAUUAUAUAUAUUUGGGGGGAUACCAGGGAUCGAACUCGGAACCUUGUGCUUGCAAGGCAGGAGCAGAACCAUACAUUUCUUAAUAAAUUAAUUCAUCCAUUUGUGGGCCAAUAGUCUUUGAGCACUUAUGUGCCAGGCACUGCUAGACUUAAGACAUAUGGAAAGACCCUGCUCUCAUAGAUCUUACAUUUUAAUGAUGGAAAUAGAUAUUCAAUAAAUGGACAAAUCAAACAGCUUAAUAUUACAGAAUGCUACAGUUUUCUUAUCUGUUAAUUAAAAAGAAUAUUUCAUAGGAUUCGUAUGAGGAUUAAAUGAGACUGUGAAAAUUAUUUAGCAUACAAAUAUUUAAUGAGUAUUAUUUCUCUUUCAUCUUAUCUCUUGGAAAAAUAAAAGUAAUUGGAUAUAGAUCGCUGAAUUCUGACCUGAGAUGAAGAAAUCAGCAGAUGCUUUAUUCUACAUUAAAGGAAAGGACAGAACCAUGGAUUCCACUUCCGUGCCAUGCCCCGUCCUCGGAAGGCUUUCCUGGGUCAGCUGCCACGUGGGCCAGGACAAUAUAGAUUAUGCUGCGGACACAAACAACCUCUCAGCUCGGUGGAUAGAAACAAACAGCAACACCAGGAGCGUCGUUGCCACUACCUGUCCACCGAGAGACAGUGGGGACCGGCUCCGAGGAGCCACCACGCAACAGGCACUGUGGCUGACAGGACCCCACAGGGUCCCAGGAGCAACUAGAGGGUGGACGGCUGGACGCGGCAGCAAGUGCAGCCCACAGCGAGUGAGUGGGGAGCAGCUGUGUCCGAGGGUGAGCCUGGGCAGGGGGCACACAGGGCCGCAAGCUGCACUGUGGCUUUCCUCUCACUGA